UAGAAACAGUGCCCUAUAUUCAGCCUACC
rnacentral:piRNA from 1 species